UGCGCAGGCGGGGCAAUAAGUCAGUGGUGAAAUCCUGCGGCUUAACCGUAGAACUGCCAUUGAUACUGUUGCCCUUGAGUAUAGUUGAGGUGGGCGGAAUAUGUAAUGUAGCGAUGAAAUGCAUAGAUAUUACAUAGAACACCAAUUGCGAAGGCAGCUCACUAAGCUAUCACUGACGCUGAGGCACGAAAGCGUGGGGAGCGAACAGGAUUAGAUACCCUGGUAGUCC
rnacentral:rRNA from 1 species